rnacentral:rRNA from 1 species
UAAAAGUUUGGUCCUGACUUUAUUAUCAACUAUAACUAAACUUACACAUGCAAGUCUCCACACCCCUGUGAAGUACGCCCUAUGUAUCUCCCCCCAGAGAACAAGGAGCAGGCAUCAGGCACAAGCACACUUAGCCCAUAACGCCUUGCUUAGCCACACCCCCACGGGAACUCAGCAGUGAUAAACAUUAAGCCAUAAGCGAAAGCUUGACUUAGUUAAAGUUAAGAGGGCCGGUAAAACUCGUGCCAGCCACCGCGGUUAUACGAGAGGCCCAAGUUGACAACAGUCGGCGUAAAGCGUGGUUAGGCCAUCAACCCCCACUAAAGUCGAAUGCCCUCAAAGCUGUUAUACGCACCCGAGGGUUAGAAGUUCAAAUACGAAAGUAACUUUAUAAGUCUGAACCCACGAAAGCUACGGCACAAACUGGGAUUAGAAACCCCACUAUG